GAUGAACGCUAGCGACAGGCCUAACACAUGCAAGUCGAGGGGCAGCACGGUGUAGCAAUACACGGGUGGCGACCGGCGCACGGGUGAGUAACGCGUAUGCAACCUGCCUACUACAAGGGGAUAACCCGUUGAAAGACGGACUAACACCCUAUAACACAGGGAAUCCGCAUGGAUAUAUUUGUUAAAGAUUUAUCGGUAGUAGAUGGGCAUGCGUUCCAUUAGCUUGUUGGUGAGGUAACGGCUCACCAAGGCAACGAUGGAUAGGGGAACUGAGAGGUUGAUCCCCCACACUGGUACUGAGACACGGACCAGACUCCUACGGGAGGCAGCAGUGAGGAAUAUUGGUCAAUGGACGCAAGUCUGAACCAGCCACGUCGCGUGAAGGAAGACGGCCCUACGGGUUGUAAACUUCUUUUGUAAGGGAAUAAAGUGAGUCACGUGUGGCUUUUUGCAUGUACCUUACGAAUAAGGAUCGGCUAACUCCGUGCCAGCAGCCGCGGUAAU
rnacentral:rRNA from 1 species